GAACGCGAAGAACCUUACCAAGUCUUGACAUCCUUUGACCACUCUAGAGAUAGAGCUUUCCCUUCGGGGACAAAGUGACAGGUGGUGCAUGGUUGUCGUCAGCUCGUGUCGUGAGAUGUUGGGUUAAGUCCCGCAACGAGCGCAACCCUUAUUACUAGUUGCCAGCAUUGAGUUGGGCACUCUAGUGAGACUGCCGGUGACAAACCGGAGGAAGGUGGGGAUGACGUCAAAUCAUCAUGCCCCUUAUGACUUGGGCUACACACGUGCUACAAUGGAUGGUACAACGAGCAGCGAACUCGCGAGGGUAAGCGAAUCCCUUAAAGCCAUUCUCAGUUCGGAUUGUAGGCUGCAACUCGCCUACAUGAAGCCGGAAUCGCUAGUAAUCGCGGAUCAGCACGCCGCGGUGAAUACGUUCCCGGGUCUUGUACACACC
rnacentral:rRNA from 1 species